GCCUUCGUUGUGUAGUGGUCAACACGCUCAACUGGAAAGCGAGAGGUUCGUGGUUCGAUUCUCGGCGAAGGCA
rnacentral:tRNA from 1 species